AAAGAAAAAAAAAAACCUAAUCACCUCUCUCCCAUUAUUCGAGCAAGCUCCGCCUCCACCUUUCUUCUUCACCACUUAUAAAUCUUUCUCAUACUAAUCUGGGUAACCCUAAUCACCUCUCUUCUUUUAUUCCUUGGUUUACCUUCAGGAAUUGCCUACUAUUAUCUUCAUGGAGGAUGUCAAUGAGGAGUUAGACAAAUCAUUGAAAAUCGGUAUAAACAGUAUGACACCAUGGGGUGAAGAAACAAUGAAAUGAAGAUAACCCUCUUAUCUGUUAAGCUUUACUAUUUUUUUUUUAAGAAUAUCCAAGCUUUUUUUACGUUUUUGAGCUUAAUUAACAUUUCGGGGUGUAGUUUUGUUUUUUCAUCUUCUUAUACAAUUACUUGAUAGGACAUAUGAGAUGCAUGAUUCAAUUACUUUGACAACUAGGGCCUUCCAAUCUUUACACAUAUGAGUAUUAAUGAACUUUAUUUGUUGGUCUUUAAUGGACAUUUCAAUUUAUGAAAUCCCCGUCCCAUAGCUGAACCUGUUAGCAAACAAGUGAGUAUUUCAUAUUUUUAUGGUCAUGAACUAUGAUCCAGCUAAUUAAUUUCAAUAUCAUUGGAACUUAUAACGAUCUUUUGUUUUUGUUUUUCUUUUGGUAUUGUAUUAUGAAUUUAGAUCCCUUCUGAUGGACUUAUCGGUUUAACUCAGGUUUCAGGCAAGGGUGUUGUCGGUAUGGGAAAUUGCACGACGCAUAUUAGUGGCUCUGAAUUUUUUAUGGCAGUGCAAGUCUGCAAAUCAUUUUCUCUAUAAGCAUUCUGUUUUCGGGGGAAUUGUGGGUGGGUUGACUACCCUUGCAGCGAUGAAGAAGGUUCAUGUGGAUGACAGUCGCCGACAUUUGGGUGUUCAGCAGUUCAUGGCCUUCCAGUUUCAAUGCCGAUGAUAGCCUCAUCGAUUCUCCGCCAGCAAGGACUCCUUAGUCCAUUGAAGGAGGCAUUUUCGAGGUUCUUAUGGAUUUCACCUCCGGGUGCUGUGAACUUCGCAGGUUACAAGCUUGCACAGAAGGAAAUGGACAAAAGACGAAGAGCGAUCAACAAAUAAUCAGCUAAACAGUUUUGUUUUGAGGCAAAGGAAAAUUUAUUAAUAUGGAGUGGUGGUUAAUUAAUUAGCAUGAGGGCAUAGAAUGAUCUAUCAUGGAAGAUUAAAGAGUUGCGUGCAUGUCUAGAUUUAACUCAUAAUAUGUUUUUAAAGACUUGAGAGUUUCAAGACUGGAAGAUGAUGCGCUGAUGGACUUCCUUUGGGAAAAUGCACAUGAACUUCAUAGAUGUUCCUUUUUGGGGAAAAAGGCUCUGAAAAAUCUUCUUUACGUUCGCAUGAAUUAUGUAAGCUCCACUGCUCCGGUAUCAGAGAAACCAACAUAGACGGAUAAACUUUUAUUAUUUUAAAACGUUGUUUGGAUGGAUGCACAUCAUUUGUGAAAAAUUGUUAGUUUGAUAUGUUAUUACUGUUAGUAGUGUUUUUUCGAUUUUGCUAAGGAAACAUGUCUGGAUGUAGAUGUUAUCAACUCUGCAGCAAUAACUGGAAUAUAAUUCUUCA